CUGGAAGUGACUACCAUAGUAUCUGCUGUUGUGUUUAUUUAUUUUUUAACCAAUUCACAUCCUGGUGGUAUUUGUUAGGUAUACAAAGACUGAAAAACUACUGCGAUGGCCUCAUGCCUUGUUUUUCUCCUUUAGAAGAUGUUUUUUCUCCUUUAGAUGAUUUUUUUCUCCUUUAGAAGAGUGUACUUCCUUUCUCAUUGGUGAAACAUCUAUUAAUAGUAAUUCUCAUCUUCCCUGAGAACCCUCAUCUGUAUAAUGUGCUAGUUUUUACCCAGGAACACUGCAUUAUAAAGCAUUUAAAGUUCCAGGUAUACCUUUCUCAGAAGAGAAGAACUACAAAUCCCAGAAGACUUCACUGAUCCAUUUCCAUUUUCCAUUUGGAGGGAAAGAUAAAGCUAAUUGGGAGUCAUGAGACUGUCCUUCUUUUUCUGUUCAUCUCUGCAGUGUGUGCUCCCUAUCCAUCUCGCCUUCAGCACUGGAGUCAGGCAAGUCAGCAUUUGUUCCCUGGGCUGCUCAGAGACUGAGUGCAUGAACAGCAAAAUAGUGUCGUGUUCCAUAUUUUGAGAGCUUGACCUGUUGCUGGGACCCAAGGGCACAGAAAAAGAGUAUGUGAGUGAAGAAAAACAGGAACACCACUCUGUAGCCGGUCUAGCUGGAAAGUCCUUUGAGGGUUUUAUCCUACAGAACUCUGCUAAGCAGAUCCCUGAAGAGGCCAGACAGCUCUCCUGAAAUCCAUGGUUGUGAGCAAGCAUCCUCCUUUUGCCCUAAGUAUGUUGAACUCCACAAUUUCAUGGUCACUGCACCAAGACUGCCUUUGACCUUUACAUUCCCACCAGCAUCACCUUGUUGAUAAGAAAGAGGUCCAGCACAGCCUCUUUCCUCAGCUUCUCUAUCACCUGGAGAAGGAAGUUAUCAUCGUAUUGUAUGGUACCUGCUUACCAGCAGGUUGGACUUGAUGAUCUCUUGAGGUUCCUUUCGAUCUCUGUGAUUCUGUGGUUCUGUGAUUCUGCAACACACUCUAGGAACCUCCUGGAUUGCUCAUGCCUUGCUUUGUUGCCUCUCCAACAGAUAUUGGGGUGGUUGAAUUCCCACAUGAAGACCAGGGACUGUGAAUACAAAUCUGUUCCUCAGUCCAGCACAGCAUGACUACCUCUGCCCCAUCACUGAUUGCUGGUGGACCAACCCUUUCUCACCCUGCAGCUACCAGACAGGCUGAAAUACUCCUGAGGUGGACCUUGAAUUCCCAUGUAAAUUAGGUUGGCUCCUGACAGCAGGAGGUAGCUAAAAAGUUAUGAAGACACCUAAUCCCCUACUUCCUGUCUCAAAACACCUUGGAGCUUCCCCACUCCCACAGCACCUCUCUGGGCCUCCUGAGGCUGACAGUAGCUUCUAUUGGAACCUUUCUGACCCUUCUCAGGAACAGUAUCCAGGGACCAGUUGAAUCAGCACUGCAGAACAUCUUUUUGUUGUUACUGCAGGCAAAAAUUAUUUAGCCCUUCACAUUUGGUUCUGCCUCUGAGAAGCUCUGAGUGAGCUCUAGGCCACUGUGUAAACUCUACUGGCACCUCUAUGUUUCUUAAUGAGUCUUAAACAUACCCAUGCCUAGGGCUAUACCUGGUGAAUACUCUGGCUGACAGAUCUCUAAUUUGUCUGCACUUUUACUCUCAGAGGAUAUAUGAUGGACAAAGCAAUAUGCAAACCUUCUAAAAGUAACUUUUCCUUGUGCAUUAUGAGAAAAAUACAGCUUUGAAUAGUCUAUAGAACAUCUCCACGCGAACAACAUACUCUUUGAAAAGAUUUUUUAUCAUUUUUUAAAAUCUUACCUGAGUGAUCUUGGGCUUGUGACCAAAAUCUUGAAAAAAUCGCUGCACACAUGUUUUCUUUUCCAGAACAUGGAUUCUCUUUCCAUCAGCAGAUAUAUAGCUGCUGACUUGGUAAAAAAUAAAUUACUUGAAUAACUGUGAAAAAAUGAAGAUUUCUGAGGAAAUAUCUAAUGACCAUUCAUUUCAGGGAGUAUAGUAUCCAUCCAUACUAGUGAACUGGCAUGAAUGAUACCCAUUAAUGCAGUACUAGACAGCCUUUCAUUUUACCAAUGUGUUAGAGUGGAAGGAAGAAUUCUCAGAGCAAAAACAAAACAAAAAGAUCCAUUUAAAAAAUAUUAGAAGAGUGCAUUUGCAUGGAAGUGUUAAAGUAGUCUGAAUCGGUAUAUCUUUGUUUUCUUUCUGAAAAGAGACGUACAAAGUGGCUAAGUUGUAAGGCAUAAAAAGAGGCUAGGUUGGAUAGGAACCAUGGCCAGCCUAAUCUAGUGCAUAGAAUCGUAGAAUGGGCUUGGUUGAAAAGGACCACAAUGAUCACUGACUUUCAACCUCCCUGCUAUGUGCAGGGUUGCCAACCUCCAGACCAGGCUGCCCAGAACCACAUCCAGCGUGGCCUUGAAUGCCUCCAGGGAUGGGGCAUCCACAGCCUCCUUGGGCAACCUGUUCC
ensembl:lncRNA